CGUGCAUAAACUUGUUUACGUCACAUCCGGGCCGAUAGUUCAGUCGAACACACAGCAGAGAAACGGAGAGACUGAAGACGUGUGUGCAACGUCCAGCAUCAAGAUGUCAAGGCCUGGAGAGAUGAAGCCGAGCCUUGCCCUGCUCAGACCUCCUGACUGAAAUCUGGUGCUCGAGUAUGACUUUGAGCUGAAAAAUAAGGAGUGGAAGACUCAGCGCUACGUUCAGAGGCGUUCAGCUGCCGAGUACAGAAGUUGGUCAAGUGACUUCAAAACUUCCAGUUGAAGAGUUGACCAGUAACCAUGUGAUCGAUGAUGUGGCUCCUCAUUGAAAGUGCAAACUUCAGGGAAUUCACCAACAUGACAAGUCUUUGAUACAGAUUUCUUCUGAGAGAUGAACCAGUUCAUCUGCUCAAGGCAACAAAGGUCACAUUUGUACAUCUGAUUUCUGUAAUGGGCAAGAGGAAAGAAUAUUUUGUGUUAAGAUUUAUGUUGGUGGAAAAAUCAUAAAUGUUGUACAAGGUAUUGAUGAGAAAUGCUGUUGAAAUAAACAUUCUAAACACA